AAUCAACGCUGGCGGCGUGCCUCAGACAUGCAAGUCGAACGAUUAAGACUCUCUUCGGAGAGUGUAUAAAGUGGCGCACGGGUGAGUAACACGUAGGUAAUGUGCCUUUGAGUGGGGAAUAACUUAGGGAAACUUAAGCUAAUACCGCAUAAUGCAGCGGCUCGACAUCGAGACAGUUGUUAAAGAUUUAUCGCCUAAAGAGCAGCCUGCGGCAGAUUAGCUAGUUGGUAAGGUAAUGGCUUACCAAGGCUACGAUCUGUAACCGACCUGAGAGGGUGGUCGGUCACACUGACACUGAAUAACGGGUCAGACUCCUACGGGAGGCAGCAGUCGGGAAUUUUGGGCAAUGGGCGAAAGCCUGACCCAGCAACGCCGCGUGAAGGAUGAAGUAUUUCGGUAUGUAAACUUCGUAAGAAUAGGAAGAAUAAAUGACGGUACUAUUUGUAAGGUCCGGCUAACUACGUGCCAGCCGCCGCAGUAAAAC
rnacentral:rRNA from 1 species